UCAUUUAAGAUACAGCCUUGUCUGUAUAACCUGUCAGAGGAGGGCGACAAGUGGCGGGCGUUGGCCAUUGAAGAUGGAACUGUGGACGGAAACCAUCAGGAUUCGGGUGAUGAUGAUGAUGAUUCCCGGAAUGUCUGUCCUCUCCCUGAAAACGACACACUAAAUGUCUCGUUGGAGCAGCUGAACCUCUCACAGGAUGCCCACAGUGUCCAUCCUACUGGUAAGUUACUUGCCAAAUUCUACAUGA